UACGUAGGCAGCAAGCGUUGUUCGGAAUUACUGGGCGUAAAGAGUGUGUAGGCGGUGCUCUAAGUUUGGUGUGAAAUCUCCCGGCUCAACUGGGAGGGUGCGCCGAAAACUGGAAUGCUUGAACGUGGAGAGGAAAGCGGAAUUCCUGGUGUAGCGGUGAAAUGCGUAGAUAUCAGGAGGAACACCUGCGGUGUAGACGGCUUUCUGGACCAUUGCUGACGCUGAGACACGAAAGCGUGGGUAGCAAACAGG
rnacentral:rRNA from 1 species